UCGAAUUUUCCGUUCCGAUUUUUUGCCAAAAGCUAAUACGAAUGUAAUAAUAUGGAAUGUAUCAGAACUAGACAUGUUCAUUCGGAUUUUUGGGUUGGGUAGGUCGGAUUGGUUAAUUCGAUAAUUUUUUUGGUAUUUCCCGAUUAAAAUUGGUUUAAUCGGUUACAUUCAGUAAAUUCAGUUAGGAUUAUGUAUAUUUUGGUAUAGCUUGGUAUAAUUUUGGUAUAAUUUCUUUUCAGACAAUGGAUAGCUGAUCGCUUUGUCAAACCAACCUGAACCGAACAAGUAAACGAAUACAAAUUUCAAUCCCAUUGAGUUUAACCGAUUGGCAAACCACUAUCGGUCCAAGUGGUUCAGGUAAAACCCGCAGGCCUAAUCAGAACAAUCAAAAUAUGCAAAUGCAUUGGUUAAUUGUAGUGCAAGAAACUGGAGAAACUUUAUUACUACAUGCAAAAAGAGAGUAAUAUGAGGGACAAGAUCCGGUUUAUAGGGCUACACGUAACGUUUGAGUUCAGUCAGAGACUUUGCUUCUUACUUCAAAUAUUACCCACUAGAAAAGCCAAGUUGCUAGCUUCUUCCUAUGUUCUAAAGUCAAUUUUCGAGUAUUCAGAAACCUAGUUAGUGUACUGGAUCGAAUAGUUUUUUUUUCACUUGAUGCUUGCAAGUUACAUAACAUGUAAGUUGCAUAAUGUAACAGUUCUUUUUUUUGUUAAUUGGGAUAAUAGUUAGCUAGCACAUUUUGUAAAAUCAAUAUGC
rnacentral:lncRNA from 1 species